UACGGAGGGUGCGAGCGUUGUCCGGAAUCACUGGGCGUAAAGGGCGCGUAGGCGGUCUCGUAAGUCCUGUGUGAAAUCCCCCGGCUCAACUGGGGAACUGCACAGGAGACUGCUUGGCUUGAGUUCGGGAGAGGGAAGCGGAAUCCGGGUGUGCGGUGAAAUGCGUAGAUAUCCGGAGGAACACCGGUGGCGAAGGCGGCUUCCUGGACCGACACUGACGCUAGGCGCAAAAGCUGGGGAGCAACAGG
rnacentral:rRNA from 1 species